rnacentral:rRNA from 1 species
UACAGAGGGGGCAAGCGUUAUUCGGAAUUAUUGGGCGUAAAGGGCGCGUAGGCGGCUUUGCAAGUGGCGGGUGAAAUCCCUCGGCUUAACCGAGGAACUGCCUGUCAAACUGCAUGGCUUGAGACCAGGAGAGGUGAGUGGAAUUCCCAGUGUAGCGGUGAAAUGCGUAGAUAUUGGGAGGAACACCAGUGGCGAAGGCGGCUCACUGGACUGGUACUGACGCUAAUGCGCGAAAGCGUGGGGAGCAAACAG